rnacentral:rRNA from 1 species
UACAGAGGUCUCAAGCGUUGUUCGGAUUCAUUGGGCGUAAAGGGUGCGUAGGCGGCGCGGUAAGUCGGGUGUGAAAUUUCGAGGCUUAACUUCGAAGCUGCAUUCGAUACUGCCGUGCUCGAGGACUGGAGAGGAGACUGGAAUUUACGGUGUAGCGGUGAAAUGCGUAGAUAUCGUAAGGAAGACCAGUGGCGAAGGCGGGUCUCUGGACAGUUCCUGACGCUGAGGCACGAAGGCCAGGGGAGCAAACGGG